GCGCUUCCUUUUUGAAUUUUUGUACAGAGAGGUCCUGCAGCAAUGUAUCGCUCUUCUACUGGUCCACAUCUUCGCGUUAUGCAAAUUCCCUGGUCAGAGUUCACCAAACUUGAAUUUUUGAACACAGCGAAAUGCGAAAUUUCGCAUAAGCUUGCGUCUCCGGUCCGACGCAUUUGCAUGCGUAUGAAUGGAGUCAUUGGAGAGAAAAGUGCAGUGUGACCGCCCAUCACUCAUAGCUAACUAACGGCUGGAGGGGCACCUUAAGGAGGUUCUGCUCAUGCUGUCAAACUGACGUCAUCAGAAAAAUUAUUCGUUACAGAGUGGAAAUGUUCAGAAUUUGAUAAGAUUACUAAGACAAACAAUGUUUAAUUGUUUACAUUAAGAUUAGCAAUGUGUGCUAGUAAGCUUAAGUCAAUUCGAUAUAUGCGUAUUUUAAACUUAACCCCUUAACUGUCACUCCCCAUUUUUUAUUAUUUUUUUUUUAUUAAGUUGACGUAUCAGCGGUUAAGCUACAAUCAAGGCUUGUUUAUUUCGCGCAUCUACUGGUGUUGGUUCAUCACUCUUACUCGGCUGUUGCGGCUUUCACUUUACACUUUUUGACUUCAGACAGCUGUGCCCUCAGCCAACCGGAUUCUUCAGUCUGCCCUCCGUUAGCAGACAUGAUACUAAACGAAGUGCUUACGUCAGCUGGAAAUCACAUUUCUAAGGCGUUGCUCCCUCUUCAAUCAAGCCUACCCGUUGCAUGGUCCGCUCUAAUGUUUUUCCUUCCAGUUUUUGCGUUCCUAUUCUAAUUUCGACCGUUGCUCCUUCUCGUCUUAAUAAAAAAAAAAAAAAAAAAAAAAAAAAAUCUUAAAAUUUCUCUAUUCGCAGUCUCCUUGCCAGCAUCUAAUCCACGCUAAAUUUUAUAAUCUAAUUUUCAAGCCUUUUGGUUAUUCAGUUCUAUUACUACUUGAGGGGUUAGCUAAAUCUUCCAACAAAUUAAAGACAAUGUCUGCCUAUUACCCUGCCCAUAUUGCAAAAUUAAUUACUUCCAUCUGCUACAGCCUUCCUUCGAAGUACCUCAAUAUUCUUCUCGAGGCAGUGUUUAUCUGCCUUCUACAGGUUAUGCUUCCAGGGGAAUUCACUUCAAACCAAUCAAUUUGAUCCUGCUCGCGUCAUUUCCUUCAGAUCUAUGAUUCGGACCAAAAAUUCUUCACACUCUCCUCAAGCACUCAAAACCGAUGUGCAAGGUUCUGGUGUCACCUUAACAAUUCUAAAAUCAAUAAAUCCUGUCCCUUCUCUGCAUGGUGAAAUUUCUUAAAAUCCGACCUAGAAUUUCUAAAACGCACCAGCUCUAUUUUUUCUAACGGAGCCCCCUUUCCAAGGCUGUUUAGAACUCACUUAACCACUGUUCUCAAAGCUGCAGUCUAUCUACUGGCCAUUCAUUCAGAAUUGGGGCAGCUACUUCAGCAGCUGAACGAGGGAUCUCUACAUCAGCUGUUAAGAUCAUGGGCAGAUGGUCUUCCUCAGCAUUUGAAUCAUACAUCAGACCUGAUUCAAAACCAUUAUUGAAGCUCAGCAAGCUCUCCUGUAACUAAUCAGGAACCUUAGGAUUCACAACUGGUGGGUAUACUUCAUCUACUUUUUUGGGGGGAAGGCUGGCCCCGUCUGGAGGUCUCAUAAUCCACCUAAUUUUGGGGGUCUGCUGCGCCCCUGCCUUCGUCUUCAGGCAGGAAAUGCAGAUUCGCUACCCUCGGAUUACGAACCAUGGACGGGGCCUUCCGCCAAAGAAAUUUAUAAUUGUGCUCGCUGAGCUGUCAAUAAAUGUAUGCUUCGUACAUCCUUCUAUCUCCCGAGUCUUUCUGGUAGAAAUGGAAGCUUUAGCCUAAGUUCUGCCAGGAAGACUCAAUCACUUCGUCACUAAUUACCUUCAGCAUUAUCCAAUCACGUCUUUAUACUCCUGUAUAAAAGAUCGUACUUACACAUGUUUGAGUUCGCAGAUGCCGACGCGACAACAACCUCCACCCUCCCCACCACCACCAGGAUGGUCCUGUCCUUACCUUCCAGGGGGGUCUGCUGCGCCCCUGCCUUCGUCUUCAGGCAGGAAAUGCAGAUUCGCUACCCUCGGAUUACGAACCAUGGACGGGGCCUUCCGCCAAAGAAAUUUAUAAUUGUGCUCGCUGAGCUGUCAAUAAAUGUAUGCUUCGUACA